AUGUUAAUGCUGCCCCUGAGUCUCCAGCAGAGGAUGCUCUGAACAGGGCUGCAGCAGAAGAAGUUUCAUCUGGCACCGAGAGCUGCAGGAACAGUUCCCCAGAGCAUGAGGAGCCUGAUUCCAUCUGAGCUGCCUCUCCAGGAGGGCUGCCCUGUGUGGCAGGAAGAGACAGAGGGAGGGCCUGUGACCAUCGGGCAGCUGGCGGCCGGGCUGGGCAGAGCAGCAGUUCCAGCCCCGGGUGUCCCUGGAGCAGUGGGAGCUGCCGCUGGCCCCAGGAACUGUCCCCUGAGGAGCUGCUGAGGGACGUGAAGACCUUGAAGACAGCAGGAGGAGUGACAGGAGCCAGCAGGGAGAAGCCAAAGGCCAGGAGCAAGAGCAGUGAGCAGGGAGCUGCUGGUGCCAUGCGAGAGCCAUGGAUGUCCCAUCUGCUGUCCCUGUCCAGAAGAGCUGCUCUGCACGGGAGGAAGAGACCGAGGGAGAGCCUGGGAACAUCGGUGGCUGCAAUCCCUCCUGCUGGAGUUCUAGUUACAGAUGUGUAGAGUUCAACUGAGAUAGCUGGAAGUUUAUGGAUAUUUACCUAUGUUGACAGAUGUUUGUAUAGGCAUAUAUGUAUGUGUAUUGUUAUACUGAUCCAUGUAUAUUAAUCUGUUCACAUCUGGGUUUAUAUUUACAUACUUGUGCGGUUGUAUAGCUGUGUAAUUCUGUUGAUAGGGUUGUAAGGAUCAUGGCACAUUGAUAUUUGUAUAUUUAUAGAUAGGUUUGUUAUGUGUGUAUUUAUGUACAUCUUGCUUUAUGUCAUUUGAAAUAUUAAUUAUAUAUUUACAUCUGUAUGUUGUAUGGUUAUGUAUUUACAGAUAUUUAAAUAUAUGUUGAGUAGUAUAGUUAUAUAAUUCUAUGUGUUUAGUUCUGAGUCUGGGAUUCUUUAGAGAGGGAUAUUGACAUUUUUGUAUUUGUAUACGGGCUGUACAGUUGUAGUAAUAUGUAAUAAAUUAAGCUGUUAAACUUCAUAUUUGUGUAUAGCGAGUGGUUGUAGAGGGUUGCAAUAAAUUAACUGUUUUAACUGAAGUGCAUAUUUGUAUAUAUCUACAUAGCACAAUUUUAAAAAUAAAUUAGUUUCUUAAAGAAAUAUUUGUAUGUUUAUAUAU